ensembl:misc_RNA 7SK 7SK RNA
GGAGUAGUGAAAUGUGAGGUCAAUGUCUGUCACCCGUUGUUGAUACCCAGCAUUUAUUUGACUGUUUUGGCUGCCUAGAGCGGUGCUCCCUUCCUUCAUCACCUGUCCAAGUGAUUCCUUCCCAAUACCUCACACUCAGUGAAAGAGGACAACCUUCCCUGAUCCAUAGUGGAGGAUUAUUCUUCAUUCAUUAUGAGCAGCUGUGAUUUUUCUGUUAGAACCCAGACAAGUUCUCAAAAUGGAGCAAAACUUAGAAUGCCACCAGACAAUAUUAUGUGCUAAGUAUCUAAUAUUUUAAUUACAAAAAAGGUAUUUGAA